rnacentral:rRNA from 1 species
GACGAACGUUUGCGGCGUGCUUAACACAUGCAAGUCGAACGGAAAGGCCCUGCUUUUGUGGGGUGCUCGAGUGGCGAACGGGUGAGUAACACGUGAGUAACCUGCCCUUGACUUUGGGAUAACUUCAGGAAACUGGGGCUAAUACCGGAUAGGAGCUCCUGCUGCAUGGUGGGGGUUGGAAAGUUUCGGCGGUUGGGGAUGGACUCGCGGCUUAUCAGCUUGUUGGUGGGGUAGUGGCUUACCAAGGCUUUGACGGGUAGCCGGCCUGAGAGGGUGACCGGCCACAUUGGGACUGAGAUACGGCCCAGACUCCUACGGGAGGCAGCAGUGGGGAAUAUUGCACAAUGGGCGGAAGCCUGAUGCAGCAACGCCGCGUGCGGGAUGACGGCCUUCGGGUUGUAAACCGCUUUCGCCUGUGACGAAGCGUGAGUGACGGUAAUGGGUAAAGAAGCACCGGCUAACUACGUGCCAGCAGCCGCGGUGAUACGUAGGGUGCGAGCGUUGUCCGGAUUUAUUGGGCGUAAAGGGCUCGUAGGUGGUUGAUCGCGUCGGAAGUGUAAUCUUGGGGCUUAACCCUGAGCGUGCUUUCGAUACGGGUUGACUUGAGGAAGGUAGGGGAGAAUGGAAUUCCUGGUGGAGCGGUGGAAUGCGCAGAUAUCAGGAGGAACACCAGUGGCGAAGGCGGUUCUCUGGGCCUUUCCUGACGCUGAGGAGCGAAAGCGUGGGGAGCGAACAGGCUUAGAUACCCUGGUAGUCCACGCUGUAAACGGUGGGUACUAGGUGUGGGGUCCAUUCCACGGGUUCCGUACCGUAGCUAACGCUUUAAGUACCCCGCCUGGGGAGUACGGCCGCAAGGCUAAAACUCAAAGGAAUUGACGGGGCCCCGCACAAGCGGCGGAGCAUGCGGAUUAAUUCGAUGCACCGCGUAAAAACCUUACCGGGGUUUGACAUGAAUCGGGAGUGCUCAAAGGGGGGGGUGCCCCUUUUGGGGCCGGUCCCCAGGUGGCGCAUGGCUGUCGCCAGCCCGUGUCCGGAGAAGUUGGGGUAAGUCCCGCAACGAGCCCAACCCUUGUUCACUGUUGCCAGCACGUAUGGAGGCGACUCAAGGAAAACCGCCGGGGACAACUCGGAGGAAGGGGGGAAGAACUCCAAGUCAUCAUGCCCCUUAAGGCCAGGGCUUUCACCCAAGCCACCAUGGCCGGGAACAAGGACGGCCACCCUGAGAGGGCGAACCGAUCCCGGAAAGCCCGACACACGUCCGAAUGGGGGCCAGCAACUCCCCCCCCAGAAGCCGGAGACCCCUAGUAAAGCCCAAUCACCACCACUGCGGGGAAUACCGCCCCCGGGGC